GGUCAGGAGAUUGAGACCAUCCUGGCUAACAUGGUGAAACCACGUCUCUACUAAAAAUACAAAAAAAUUAGCCAGGCAUGGUGGUGGGUGCCUGUAGUCCCAGCUACUCGGGAGACUGAGGCAGGAGAAUGGCAUGAACCCGGGAGGUGGAGGUUGCAGUGAGCCGAGAUUGCACCACUGCACUCCAGCCUGGGCGACAGAGCGAGAC
rnacentral:lncRNA from 1 species